GGCUGAACUCUACAGGGGAGCAGCAGUGUAUCCAUAGUCCAUAUUUUCCUGUGUGUUCAUUCAUCCAUUCAGCAAAUGUUCAUUGAGUGCCUACUGUUGUCAGGCACUGUUCUAGGUGCAAUGAAGGACUUCUGUAGGCGUGAGGAGUGGGACCAGUGAGUGUCUUUAUCUUGUGGGUCUUUUACAUUUGCAUUUCAAAACAUCCUCCACCUUUGCCUCUGUCAGGAAUCUUCUUUUGAUGGCAAGAUAUGAUGGGAAUUGGGAAGAUGAGGAUGUUUUACUUUUAGAGUUUUUAUUCAUUUAUUUAUGUUUUUGUGUCAGUUAAAGGAAACAUUAGCAAAAGUUCCACCUAAUCAUGUGGGAAAGCCUUUACUGAAGAAGCCAAUGGGACCAGCCCACUGGGAAAAGAUAGAAGCAAUUAACCAAGCCAUAGCCAAUGAAUAUGAAGUCCGGAGAAAGCUGCUAAUAAAACGUUUGGAUGUCACUGUACAAUCCUUUGGCUGGUCUGACAGAGCUAAGAGCCAGACAGAAAAAUUAGCCAAGGUUUACCAGCCGAAACGUUCAGUCUUAUCCCCUAAAACUACUAUUUCUGUUGCCCAUCUU
rnacentral:lncRNA from 10 species